rnacentral:rRNA from 1 species
GACGAACGCUGGCGGCGUGCUUAACACAUGCAAGUCGAACGGAAAGGCCCUGCUUUUGUGGGGUGCUCGAGUGGCGAACGGGUGAGUAACACGUGAGUAACCUGCCCUUGACUUUGGGAUAACUUCAGGAAACUGGGGCUAAUACCGGAUAGGAGCUCCUGCUGCAUGGUGGGGGUUGGAAAGUUUCGGCGGUUGGGGAUGGACUCGCGGCUUAUCAGCUUGUUGGUGGGGUAGUGGCUUACCAAGGCUUUGACGGGUAGCCGGCCCGAGAGGGUGACCGGCCACAUUGGGACUGAGAUACGGCCCAGACUCCUACGGGACGCAGCAGUGGGGAAUAUUGCACAAUGGGCGGAAGCCUGAUGCAGCAACGCCGCGUGCGGGAUGACGGCCUUCGGGUUGUAAACCGCUUUCGCCUGUGACGAAGCGUGAGUGACGGUAAUGGGUAAAGAAGCACCGGCUAACUACGUG